rnacentral:lncRNA from 1 species
AUACGAUGCUAAUUAUUUGACAUCGAUAUCAGUUUUUGAAUUAAUAUUUACGAUCAGCUGGAAAAUGUUUAAAAAAUUAUACAUAACAUCGGACAUUUGUAGUAACAAUUUAAUGCUUUCGACGUAACGCGUGAUACAUUUACCCACACGUCAUAUUUAUCUAACAAUUACUUCCAAUUGUUCUUUUUCUAUUAUUGAAUAAUAGAAUUUAUCCAGAAAUUCCGACUUUUAUUCAUUGUAUUGAUAUUUCGAUGCUAUUUUAAAUCGGAAUGUUUCGAGAAGGUUAAGUAAGCAAUUAUCGAAAGAACCAUUUAAGUAUUAUAUCAGAAGUUUAUGAGGAGGAAUUUGUUUGUAUCUGACAUAGGGGAGCAAGUCUUUGAUGACUCUGCGAAAUAAACAUCGAGACGAUCUACUUUUAGAAUUCUUCAAUAUGCACCAAGUAGUUCAUUUGCCAGCUUAUAGCCGAUCCAUAAAAUGAAAGCAAUAUUAGAAACAGAUACAACUGUUUAAAAACAACUCCUGUAUAUUUGCAAAUUAUUUUAACUUCUGGCUUCAGGACAUAAUUAUGGGGAAGAACUAAGUUCCUGUUUCUGAGGAAUGGUAAUGAUAGGGAAGAGGAUAGAAAAGCAAAUUUUUCAAACGAGGACAGAAUGAAAGAUAAGCAGAUAUUAGACAAAUUGGAAGCAAAAACAAUUAAGUGAUUAAUUUUAGAAUUUUAUUCUUGCUUUAUGUAUUGAAAUCGAAGAUCGAAGACGUUGAAAGAUUUCUAAAUUUAGAAUUGAGGUAUGUGUUUAAUCUAUAUAGAAUAUUUCAAUAUUAAUCGUGGUUUUUUUUAUGUUUCAUAAAGCGUGGAAAGAAAUUCAAAAUCACUCGAUGUUGAACAUGUUGGAAAUAAACUACGGAGAAUUGCAAUGGAAAAUCAGUGGACAGCAGAAAAAGCCAAAUGAUUUGCGUAAAUAAAUUCGAUCGAUGUUAAAUUGAGAAUUUUCAUUAACGGAAAUCAAUCCAGGGGUCCAGUUAUUUCUUUUAACAUAUUGUAUGAAGGAUAAAAUUUGAUAUACACAGAAGUUACAUUCCGGAAUCUGUAAGUGGUGUUUCGUAUUUGAACAUCAACAGUCCAUAUGGGACACAUAAAACGAAACUCUGACAACUAACAACUUUACCAUUGUUGCCAGAUAUAAAUAUACAAUAAUUAACACAGAUAUUUGAUAAGAAUAUCAUCUGAUUGUUUUGCGUUAAGAUAGAAGUUUUUCGACAUUUCUUUCACAAUACAAGAAGGAAGAAUCGAGAUAAGUCUUUUCUAUACCUUUUCUGUACCUUCAAUAUUUAUGAUAAUUAACGGAUUGAAAUGUUAUAGGUUCUUUUGAAAAAUUUAAUAAUUACAUAAGCUUAGAUUGUUUUGUAUUAGUAUUAUAAUUUGACAAAUCAAUAAGCUUUUUUUAAAUAAUACUGUAACAUCGCUCAAGUUAUUUUCUUGGGAAAGUCGGAAAGCAGGCCUACGUUUAUAGAAUCAAUAUAUUCUCAUACUAUUAGAAAUAUCAAUGAAACAGUUAGUGUAAAUCAACUUACUUGAUCUGUAAUUGACUAUAAAUGACUAUGGAUAAAAAAAAUUAUCUUCCAAAAUCAAUAACAAUUAUCCCAAUACUCUAUACCCUAAGUGGGGAACCUGCGGCCUCCGCGAGGUUCUUGUGCGGCUCUUUGCCACCUAGUACAAAAUGGUAGAGUUCGUUUCAAACAACUAUUGUACAUCAACGCCAUGACAGUUGCGCGAAA